GCCCAAAAUCACUCACAAAUCUAUUUUCGUUUAAGAGUGAGAAAACUAAUUACCACCUUCGGGAUGUCUCAAGUGGUCUUUAUUUACCAAAACCACGUACAAAUAGCAUGAAAAAUAGUUUUAUGUACGACGGAGCAAACAUUUGGAAUUCUAUACCAAAAGAAAUUAGGGAAAGCAAGUCACUUUCUUCCUUUCGAAAUAAAAUCGCUGCUCGCAUUAGUGCUUGGUAACCUUUGUAAAUAUAACUUACCUGUAAAUAGCUCAAAACAUUUGUUAUAUCUUUUAAAUUUAUAUAUUACUGUAAUAGCUUAGCUUAUCC